AUGCCAUUUAGACUGAGGAAGGCCUCAAAACUCCAGGGCCAUGUGAGCCACGGCCACGGCCACAUCGGUAAGCACCGCAAGCAUCCAGGAGGCCGAGGAAUGCUGGAGGCAGGCAUCACCACAGGAUCAACUUUGACAAAUAUCAUUCAGGCUACUUUGGGAACAUUGGCAUGGGGCAUUACUGCUUGAAGAGGAACCAGAAUUUCUGACCAACUGUCAACUUGGAUGAAUUUUAGACACUGGUCAGCGAGCACACACGGGUCAAUGCUGCAAUAAACAAGACUGGAGCUGCUCUCGUCACUGAUGUUGUUCCAAUCAUGCUACUACAAAGUUCUGGGGAAGGAAAAGCUCCCUGAGCAACCUGUCAUCACGAAGACCAAAUUCUUCAGCAGAAGAGCUGAAGAGAAGAUGAAGGGUGUUGGAGGUGCCUGUGUUCUGAUGGCUUAA
rnacentral:lncRNA from 1 species